AAACAGCCUGUGACGCACUGGCAGCACUGGCAGCACUGGCUGCACUGGCAGUACCGUCCAGAGUGUUUCCCCCGACUGAACAGGCUCGACACUCACUCUGAACCGGACAUGGAAGCCAGUGAUUAACCCUCAGGACACGCCCACACAUCCUUGUGUGGAGAUGCAUGGGAGUGUCACGUUUCAAAGGUGGACGACAGCACAGCCACCCACCAAUGAGGAGGGAGCGUGAGGGGCGUAGCAUGCUAACAGUGCUCAUACGAAACAGCAGCACAGACGCACGAUCAGCUCGGCUCCAGGUGUUAACAAUAGCAGCAUCCCCUCGGAAAUUGCAACAGUCAAGGUGUCUGGAGUUGGUGGAUGGAAUUACCACGGUGCUGCAGAUGGGGAGAGAAAAAUCGACAGGAA